AUUGAACGCUGGCGGCAUGCUUUACACAUGCAAGUCGAACGGUAACAGGUUAAGCUGACGAGUGGCGAACGGGUGAGUAAUGCAUCGGAACGUGCCCGAUCGUGGGGGAUAACGCAGCGAAAGCUGCGCUAAUACCGCAUACGAUCUGAGGAUGAAAGCGGGGGACCGUAAGGCCUCGCGCGAUCGGAGCGGCCGAUGUCAGAUUAGGUAGUUGGUGGGGUAACGGCUCACCAAGCCAACGAUCUGUAGCUGGUCUGAGAGGACGACCAGCCACACUGGGACUGAGACACGGCCCAGACUCCUACGGGAGGCAGCAGUGGGGAAUUUUGGACAAUGGGCGAAAGCCUGAUCCAGCAAUGCCGCGUGCAGGAAGAAGGCCUUCGGGUUGUAAACUGCUUUUGUACGGAGCGAAAAGGCCCUCUCUAAUACAGGGGGUUUAUGACGGUACCGUAAGAAUAAGCACCGGCUAACUACGUGCCAGCCGCCGCAGUAA
rnacentral:rRNA from 1 species